UUCUCUCGUUGUCUCGUUCUCCGUCUCUCGAUUCUCUUCCAUCAUGUCUGAAAUUCGAAGAUUUCUGAGAUCUCAAAUCCCAAAUCAAACUAAACUAUUUAUUUUUCGCCUUAGGGUUUUAAGGUUUGCAUAUAAAAGUUGUUUUAGGGUUCAGUCUCUUCUCUAGUCUCCAAAAACUCUCAAGACCAGCAGCACAAAGAAGAAGAAAUGACCUAAAUUUCUCAUUUCCUUGUUAGCAAAUGCAAAGACUGUUUCAGUCAAGCUGGAAAAGAUUGAAGGUGUUGUUCUUGCUACUACUAAUCCUAACAAACAAAAGAGCCCUUCAAGUUUGGUGGGGAAAACUGUCAUGAAGAAGAAAAUCAGUAGAACGGCUAAGGUUGUUGCCAAACUACCUCAUCUCUCCAAUUUGGCGUACAAACAAGUCGCUCUGCCUGACGUUGAAGUCGGUUCAUACGUCUUGGUCAGAGUUGGCCGCAGAGAUUGAGAGGCGUGCCGAGAAUCAUAAUUAGAAACUACUACUGCUUGGGGAUGGAGAGUCACGGAAGUCUACAACCUUUAAGAAGGUAGAAAACCAAAAGUUUUCUUAUAAUUGAAAAUCAAACAACAUAUUUUGCAUUCAGUCUUGUGAUAUAGGAAGGUAUGAAGUGGGCUACAGGGGAAUGGGGGUGUAAUUGCAUUUCCGGAGCGCCAAGAUUCCAUGUAUAGGAUGGGGGAGGGAAAGGUUGUUCCCAUCUUGGUAAUUGAAGGAUGGAACUUAAUUAAUACUUUCCAUUCACAAGAGAUUGCUGAGCUCCGGGGAAUCCCUUCUUACUGGAUGGACAACGAGUAGAGAAUAGGACCAGGAAAUACAAUUAGCUUUAAGUUGCUUCCUGAUGAGCCCACUGUUGAAGACAAAUAGGAUGAUAACGAGGACAACGAUGAUGAGCAUGAUGAUGUUGAAGGGAAGUUGCUUGUAUGCUUGCAGAUGACUGCAGUAGACGUGUGAUGAUUGAGAUAGGUGGUGACGGUGACAUACCUUAUCCUACCUGUAUCUUCUGUGGUCUUUUCCUUUCUUACUCUGGAAUUUUUUAUUUUAUGUUGCAGGAGUUUUGAACUGUCUUUCCAAAGUUGUAUCCCUGGGAUUCAAAGAGGGUACUAAUUGCAGUGAGGUUGAUAUCAUCAAGCCUUGAAUAUUGACUACUUUAUUUUUGCUUUCAAGAGUUGGGUAUGCUAAGGCUUCUUAUCUCACGUGCAAUGGGAUUCGAGACUAUACCUGGAUUUACCUUACUGCUGGGUCUGGAGGCAGGCUUAGACUUUGAUUGUCAGUUGCAUCCGAUGCUGCCUGUAAUAAUCUAAAUGUUGCGCUGUGAAAGGCUCUGUAACGGGUGUCUUGAAGUGGUUGUCGGGAAGUUACUGACUUUGCAACUUAUGCAUUUGGGCCAACUAUUGUGGUCACUCCUUUAGGUGCACUCAGCAUUAUUAUCAGGCACAAAACAAGUUCAUUCCCCAAGUUGUGUACUCUUUCCUCUUCAGUUUUUGUGCUAAGUGUCAUAUUCUCUUGCACUGCUGCACUUGCAAAACAUAGAAAUAUCUUAUGGAAAAGAAGUCCUUUUCAUUUCUAGUUUUAUUUUUUGUUCAACAGUUUCUGUAAAGUACAUUGCUUAGCUAAUUUUGGUUCUAGAACAGAGGUAUCUUGAUUUUGUUGGAUUAAUUUGAU